rnacentral:rRNA from 1 species
UACAGAGGGUGCAAACGUUGUUCGGAAUUACUGGGCGUAAAGCGCGUGUAGGCGGCUUCGCAAGUCGGGUGUGAAAGCCCUGGGCUCAACCUAGGAAGUGCACUCGAAACUGCGGAGCUUGAGUCCUGGAGAGGAAGGCGGAAUUCUCGGUGUAGAGGUGAAAUUCGUAGAUAUCGAGAGGAACACCGGUGGCGAAGGCGGCCUUCUGGACAGUGACUGACGCUGAGACGCGAAAGCGUGGGGAGCAAACAGG